rnacentral:rRNA from 1 species
AGAGUUUGAUCCUGGCUCAGGACGAACGCUGGCGGCGUGCCUAAUACAUGCAAGUCGAGCGAAUCAAUGGGAGCUUGCUCCCUGAGAUUAGCGGCGGACGGGUGAGUAACACGUGGGUAACCUGCCUGUAAGACUGGGAUAACUUCGGGAAACCGGAGCUAAUACCGGAUAGUUUCUUUUCUCGCAUGAGAGAAGAUGGAAAGAUGGUUUCGGCUAUCACUUACAGAUGGACCCGCGGCGCAUUAGCUAGUUGGUGAGGUAACGGCUCACCAAGGCAACGAUGCGUAGCCGACCUGAGAGGGUGAUCGGCCACACUGGGACUGAGACACGGCCCAGACUCCUACGGGAGGCAGCAGUAGGGAAUCUUCCGCAAUGGACGAAAGUCUGACGGAGCAACGCCGCGUGAGCGAAGAAGGCCUUCGGGUCGUAAAGCUCUGUUGUUAGGGAAGAACAAGUACGAGAGUAACUGCUCGUACCUUGACGGUACCUAACCAGAAAGCCACGGCUAACUACGUGCCAGCAGCCGCGGUA